rnacentral:rRNA from 1 species
CAGAUUGAACGCUGGCGCAUGCCUUACACAUGCAAGUCGAACGGUAACGGGCCUUCGGGUGCCGACGAGUGGCGAACGGGUGAGUAAUGCAUCGGAACGUACCUUUCAGUGGGGAUAACGUAGCGAAAGUUACGCUAAUACCGCAUAUUCUGUGAGCAGGAAAGCAGGGGAUCGCAAGACCUUGCGCUGAUUGAGCGGCCGACUGUCAGAUUAGCUAGUUGGUGAGGUAAAGGCUCACCAAGGCGACGAUCUGUAGCGGGUCUGAGAGGAUGAUCCGCCACACUGGAACUGAGACACGGUCCAGACUCCUACGGGAGGCAGCAGUGGGGAAUUUUGGACAAUGGGGCAACCCUGAUCCAGCCGUGCCGCGUGAGUGAAGAAGGCCUUCGGGUUGUAAAGCUCUUUCGGCCGGGAAGAAAUCGCAUGGGUUAAUACCCUGUGCGGAUGACGGUACCGGCAUUAGAAGCACCGGCUAACUACGUG